rnacentral:tRNA from 3 species
GCCGCGAUGGUGGAAUUGGUAGACACGAGGGACUUAAAAUCCCUUGGUUUGAAUAGAGCCAUGCCGGUUCGAUUCCGGCUCGCGGCA